UUUGUUUUUUCAAAAGUAAAUAUAACUUUAUAGCAGCAAACAGCAGGCUACAGUCGUAGCCAUUAUGAAACCUGGUUGUCUGGUACCAGGUAAUCCCAGGUGUGUUGUUUCCUGGUUCCUGGUUCCUUCUUGGGCCAUGUAAGCAACAUUCUGGAAGUGAGGAGCUCAAGGUUAAAAUCAGCUCCAGUCUAUGCAUGUUCCUUUUAUGUCUGGUCACAAAUCACACACUGCAUUUUCUGUUUGGUUGUUUUUUAAAUAACUUACUAAGGUAAAAGGACGUAACAUAAAAUUAACCAUUUUGAAGUGGACAAUUCAGUGGCAUUAAGAACAUUCAGGGGUUCCCAUUGUGGCAAAGUAGAAACGAAUCUGCCUAAUAUCCAUAAGGAUGCGGGUUUGAUCACUGGCCUCACUCAGCGGGUCGGGGAUCCAGGGUUGCUGUGGGCUGUGGUGUAGGUUGCAGACACAUCUUAGUUCUGGCUUUGCUGUGGCUGUGGUAUAAGCCAGCAGCUGUAGCUCUGAUUCGACCCUAUCCCAGGAACUUCCAUGUGCCACGGUGGAGGCCCUAAAAAGCAUGAAAAAAAAAAAAAAUCACGAUGUUGUGCAAUCAUCUCCUCUACCCGAUUCCAAAACACUGUCAGCACUCCAAAGUAAAACCUCUUACUCGUGAAACAGUUUCUCCUCUGUUCUCCUCUCCCCCCGCCAUCCUUAUAUUUAGGUCACUGACCCAGUGGAGUUCAUGUUUUCCUAUCGUAUGAGUUUGUGGUCCAGUUUCAUUCUUGGGCGUGUGCAUACCAGCUGUCUCAGCAUCAUUUGUUAAAGAUGAUGAAUUUCUUCUCCAUUGAUGGACCUGAUACCUUUAUCAAAAAUCAGUUGGGGAGUUCCUGUUGUGGUGCAGUGGUUAACAAACCAACUAGGAACCAUGAGGUUGCGGGUUCGAUCCCUGCCAUUUCUCAGUGGGUUAGGGAUCCGGCGUUGCCGUGAGCUCUCAAUGGUAUUCCAUUGAUCCUUAUGUCUACCCUUGUAUCAGUAUCACACUGUUUCAAUUACUUUUUAUCUUUGUAGUUAGUUUUGAAAUCAGGAAGUCUGAGUCUUUCAACUUUGCUCUUUUUCAAGAUUGCUUUGGCUUUGGGAAGCCCCUUGCCAUUCCAUAUGAAUAUGACAAUUGGCUUUUCUAUUCUUGCAAAAAAAAAAAAAAGGCCAUCGGAAUUUUGAUGGAGUCUGCAUUGAAUAUAUAGACUGUGUCAAGUUUUCCAAUCCAUGAAUACAGAAACAAUGUCUUUCCAUUUGUUUAGAUUUUCUUUUAUUUCUUUCAGUGAUAUUUCGAAUUCAGUGUACAUGCACUUCACCUUCUUGGUUAACUUUAUUGCUAGGUAUUUUAUUCUUUUGGAUGCUACUGUGCAUGGAAUUGUCUUCCUAAUUUCCUUUUUGGAUUUACAUGAGCAUUCUUAAGUGGUACAGGUGGAAGACAAUUUGAUACAACCUUUCUGAAAUCUAAUUUGGUAAUAUAUCUAAAAAUACAUAUAUUUUAUGACCCAAACUUUCCAAAUUCAGGAAUUUAUUCUAAAAAGACAAAAGAUACUUGUAUAAAAAUGUUCAUUCAUUCUUUUUCUUCUUAUAGCUGAUUUAUAGAAUUGUGUCAAUUUCUGCUGUACAGCCUAAAUGUCCAUUGAUAGACAAAGGGAUUAAGAAGAUACAUAUAGGAGUUUCAUCAUGGUUCAGCAGUAAUGAAGUCAGCUAGUAUCAUGAGGACUUGGGUUCGAUCCCUGGCCUUGUUCAGUGGGUUAAGGAUCUGGCAUUGCCAUAAGCUGCAAUGUAGGUCACAGUCUCAGCUCAGAUCUCAAGUUGUUGUGGCUAUGACACAAGCAGCUGUAGCUCCAGUUCAGCCCCCAGCCUGGGAACUUCCAUAUGCCACAGGUGCACCCCUAAAAAGACAAAAAAAGACAUACUAUAUAUACAAUGGGAUAUAUUCAAUGGAAUCGUACUCAGUCAUAAAAAAGAAAGAAUGUUGUUGUUUGCCAGCAACAUGAAUGCAACCAGAAAGUCUCAUACUAAGUGAAGUAAGUCAGAAAGAGAAAGACAAAUACCGUAUAUGGUAUCACUUAUAUGUGGAAUCUAAAAUAUGGCACAAACGAACCUAUCUACAAAACAGAAACAGGUUCACGGACAUAGAGAACAGACUUGUGGUUGCCAAAGGAAAGGGGGAGGAAGUGGGAUGGACGGGGAGAUUGGGUUGGUUGAUGCAAACUAUUACAUUUCGAAUGGAUAGGCAAUGAGGUCCUACUGUACAGCACAGGGAACUAUAUCCAGUCUCUGGGGAUGGAAGAUAAUAUGAGAAAAAUAUUAUCUCAUAUUUUCUCAUAUUCCAAAUAUGAGAAAAAGAAUACACACACACACACACACACGACUGGGUCACUAUGCUCAGAAAACUAAAUUUAAAACUACCAUAAAAUCCAGCAAUCCCACUCCUGGGCAUUUCUAUCCAGCCAAAACUUUCAUCCAAAAGAUACAUUCACCCCU
rnacentral:lncRNA from 1 species